CCGCGCGCCAUGCCGAUAACCCCAAUAAGUAUAGCCAACAACAUUGGGAUGUUGUUUUCUGAAAGUAUCCACAAAACCCCUUGACAAAAGGUUUGUCCCAAAUGAUUGCCUUUCUUCAUCUGUAAAACCAGCACUUCUUCUAUUUCCAGCAGGGUUGUAAAUGUCUAUCUCUUGAUGAGCACAAUUGAGAUCACCAGUCAAAAUAACAGGCUUUGACUUUUCCAGCUCUUUCAUGUAGUUGCUAAGAGAAGAAUCCCAUUGUGUAACCCUGUAUGACAGUCUUUUCAAGCCAUCUCCAGAGUUGGGAACAUAGGCAUUAAUUAAAUAGAAUGAAUCAAAUUCUGCUGUAACAAGUCUUCCCUCGCUAUCAUGAUCUGGUAUGCCUAGACCAUAGCUCACGGAAAGUGGCUUUAUCCGAGAGACAAUUGCAGUGCCUGAAUAACCAAGUUUGGAAUGACUACAUGUCCAGAAGCUAUUCUCGUACCCAUCUAUCAGACACUGUUUGAUAGACUCCACAUCCUUCUCCUGUAGUUUGGUCUCU
rnacentral:misc_RNA from 1 species